GACGAACGCUGGCGGCGUGCUUAACACAUGCAAGUCGAGCGGAAAGGCCCUGCUUUUGUGGGGUGCUCGAGUGGCGAACGGGUGAGUAAAACGUGAGUAAAAUGCACUUGACUUUGGGAUAAAUUCAGGAAACUGGGGCUAAUACAGGAUAGGAGCUCCUGCUGCAUGGUGGGGGUUGGAAAGAUUCGGCGGUUGGGGAUGGACUCGCGGCUUAUCAGCUUGUUUGUGGGGUUGUGGCUUACAAAGGCUUUGAAGGGUAGCCGGCCUGAGAGGGUGACCGGCCACAUGGCGACUGCGAUACGGCCCAGACUCCUACGGUACGCAGCAGUGGGGAAUAUUGCACAAUGGCCGGACGCCUGAUGCAGCAACCCCGCGUUCGUGAUAACGUCCUUCUGGUUGUAAACCUCUUUCGCCUGUGCCGAAGCGUUAGUGACGGUAAUGGGUAAAGAAGCACCGGCUAACUACGUG
rnacentral:rRNA from 1 species